rnacentral:rRNA from 1 species
GACGAACCGUCCUAACGUUGUUCGGAAUCACUGGGCUUAAAGGGCGCGUAGGCGGCUUGCCAAGUCAGGGGUGAAAUCCUGCAGCUUAACUGUAGAAGGGCCUUUGAUACUGGCGAGCUCGAGGGAGGUAGGGGUAUGUGGAACUUCCGGUGGAGCGGUGAAAUGCGUUGAUAUCGGAAGGAACGCCGGUGGCGAAGGCGGAUCUCUGGGCCUUACCUGACGCUGAGGCGCGAAAGCUAGGGGAGCGAACAGG